UGCAAUGAGUGUUUCUUCUCGUUGUUCUGUGCUCCUGUCCUGCACCAUAAGAGCAUGUCCCAGGUCAUCAUGUUCUUUUGACCAGGCUCCUGGAAUGAGAGACGCUUGGAGCUGACCUGAACUGGACCUCUAGAAGCAGAGAUGCUGAGAACAUCUGCAGAUACAUGAUGGAUUGAGCAGUCCCUGAGUCAUAUACUCUACCAGAGAAUGAAUGAUGUCUGGUAAAUAAGAUGAUGAAUCUGACACAUAAAAGUACUGAGGGCCCAGUCAAGGCAAUAUCACUGGCUGUGAAAUGCUGAAGAGAAUCAGUUGAAAGAGAAAGAAGAAUGAAUUGGAAAAGCAAAUACUUCUGUGUUCUACUGUCAAAUGUGAUGCAUUCAAAUAAGGGAUGUUAUGACAGAAAAAACAAAUCUUCCUCAACUUGUCCACAUCAGUUCCAUUCCCUCAUUUAUAGGGAAGCUUGAGGAAUGUUUAGUGAAAUGCUGGCAAAUAGACUUCAAGAGAAAGUCUAAUUAGUAAUGUUUUUUCUUCUAAGCUUCUGAGGCUCAUCUAUCUCCAAAUCAACCAGGAAAAAAAAGUAGAAGAAAAUCACCAGCUGUUGGGAAAGUUAUUUAGAGGAUGUUAGCCAGAUUAAUCUUUACAUAAUAAUUAUGAAUUAGUAACGUUUCUCCUCCAUAAAAUCCACAUAUUUAGUGAGCUUCAGAGAACAUAGAAGAGGCAAGAGAAAAUGACAGUGAAGUGAUGUAUUAGCCAUGGCUCUCUAGAGGGACAAGACUAAUAAGAUAGACAUAUAUAUGAAAGGGAGUUUAUUAAGGAGUAUUGACUGACACAGUCACAAGGUGAAGUCCCACAAUAGGCCGUCUGCCAUCUGAGGACCAAGGAAGCCAGCCCAAGUCCCCAAACCUCAAAAGUAGGAAAACCAACAGUGCAGCCUUCAGCCUGUGGCCAAAGGCCCGGGAGACCCUGGUAAACCACUGUAUAGGUCCAAGAGUCCAAAAGCUGAAGAACCUGGAGUCCGAUA
rnacentral:lncRNA from 1 species